GAAGGAUUUUGUGGCUGUGUUGGUAUGGUGGUAUUUUAUUUGUACUGAAAUGUGAUUUUUAAUCGUAUGUUAAUAAAUAAAGUUGCCCGGGGGUCAGAGCUAUUAGAGCCAUAGAAAAAGCUGGGCAGUGGUGGUGCAUGCCUUUAAUCCCAGAACUUGGUAGGCAGAGCUAGGUAGAUCUCUGUGUAUUCAAGGAUACAGCCAACAGACAGUGACGAGGCAGUCAUGUGGUUGGUUUUACAACCAAUGAGAAGACAGAACAGAAAGUCUAUAUAAAGACAAACAGACAGGAAGUAGGUCUCUUUCGGAGAGGUCUCUUGGCUGAAGAGGCUAGCUGCAGCAGGCGGGUAAGGCUCUUAGCUCUGAUCUCUUGGCUUUCUUCUUUGCAUUGGUUCUGUGUUUCUUAUUUUAAUAAGAUGGUUGGUUACAUCUACAUGUUGGUGUCCCAGUCCCUCCACUGGAAGCCUUGCCUAGUUACAGAAGAUGGCAGGUUCAGACUCUAACCCCCAUUACUAGGAGUUUUCACUCCUGUAGAUUCCUGGGAUUUCCCAUUGCACUAGGGUUCUGCCGCAUUCCCGAUAUGCCCCUCACUUCCAUGCAUUUCUCACAGUCCUCUCUCUCUGCACUCCCCCACCUGUUCCCUCCCGUUCCCAUCCCACCUUCCCCCAGUCUACCCACAAAAUCUAUUCCUUUCCCCCUUUCCAGGGAGAUCUAUUCACCUCCUAUUGUUUCCUCCUUGUUACCUAGCCUCUCUGGAGCUGUGGAUUGUAGCAUGGUUAUUUUUUACUUUACAGCUAAUAUCCACUUAUAAGUGACUACAUACCACGCUUAUCUUUCGGGGUCUGAGUUACCACACUCUGGAUGACUUUUCCUAGUUCCAUCCAUUUGCUUGCAAAUUUCAUGAUGUUAUUUCUUUUAACAGCAAAGUAAUUGAAAAAUGGAUAAUGAAAAUGAGGUACAGUUACACAAUGGUCAUGGAUAUUAUUUAUAACUGAGGUAUUCCUGUCCUAGGAAUACCAUCUCAGACUUCUAUCUAGCCUUCUCUUUCAGCAGGUCCCUCCUCAGCUAACAGUAUUUUCUUUUAUAAUGCAAUCUGAACUGUUUCUAAUUGAAUCCCUCUUUCUUCUUCUCAGACAUUUAUCACUGUGGGCCAUGUCUUCACAGACUCUUCAGGGCAGUGUCUCACAAACAGGAAGGGUUAUAGUUGCCUCCCACUCAUCUGUCUCUGCAUGUGGUGCUCACCAUUUACCUGUUGUGAUCUAAAGAUCUGGAAGGAAAAAAACUCCAUGGAUGUGAUUCCCCCUCUUCAUGGCAAUGUCUCAUCUCCCUCUGCAGCUGCUGUCCUCAGCCCUGCCUCCUGUCAUGGCCUGAAUAUGAAGAAACACAGGAGGAAGAGGUGUUUUCAUGGUACUGGAGUGAAUUCCACAAUUUAGGCCAUUAGUCACAAAAAAAUGUGGCUGAUCUAUGGGAAGAUACGAUGCAUUACAUUGAUGCCUAACAUUCUUAAGUAAUGUGAAAUCCCCUUGCUGAUAAUUGUGGAACCCAGUGCCCCUCUUUGUUCCUUGGAAAGAGAUAAGACACCAGCUGGUGGACUGAUAGCAAUAAAGAACUGAAUUAGAGGAAGUGGAGAUUGUCAUUAAGACAUACAAGUGGAUGAAACUGUGAAUGGUGUUAUCCUAACAGGAAAACUUGAGGGAGCCUUUUUCUAUUCUACUGUCUAUACAGAGAUGAUGCUACGCACGAGGAAAG